rnacentral:rRNA from 1 species
UGACUGAGUGGCGGACGGGUGAGUAACGCGUGGGUAACCUGCCCUGUACAGGGGGACAACAGUUAGAAAUGACUGCUAAUACCGCAUAAGCGCACAGGACCGCAUGGUCCGGUGUGAAAAACUCCGGUGGUACAGGAUGGACCCGCGUCUGAUUAGGUAGUUGGCGGGGUAACGGCCCACCAAGCCGACGAUCAGUAGCCGACCUGAGAGGGUGACCGGCCAUAUUGGGACUGAGACACGGCCCAAACUCCUACGGGAGGCAGCAG